rnacentral:lncRNA from 1 species
CUAUAUGGCCCCAUUCAUCUCCCCACACCUUAGCUCAGGUGUCUCCCCUUCACACAUGAGUUACUUUUUCUGUGUGUCUCUCUAGGGAGGCUACCCUGCUGCUGCUGCUGCCGCCGCCGCCGCCUAUCGCUACGCCCAGCCAGCAGCCGUAACCGGAGCAACCGCUGCAGCUGCCGCCUACAGUGACAGUUAUGGCCGGGUGUACACUACAGAUCCCUACCACGGUUUAACUCCAGCUGCUGCUGCUUACGGAGUGGGAGCCAUGGCCAGUUUAUACCGGGCAGGAUACAGUAGGUUUGCUCCUUACUAAAACCACAAAUCCCACCCGAGGAAUUUCACAUCGCUCCAAAAAACCCUUUUUCAAGCUCUUUGUUUGGCAGCAGCUCCCCUCCAUUUCUCUGCAGGCGGACUCUAGUGACAACUCGUGUGUUUCUUUGUUUUUCUGUCUUUUUUCUUUUGUGGCGAGAGAGGUCAUUUGCCACAUCAUCAACUCAAACUCUGUUUUCUGUACUCUGUGUCCGUCGCUGACACGGAAACAACGACUUAAACUGCCAGGAGUGUCUCCCACAUAAAACAAAAAGCCAGAGCCUGCUACUUUGAACUACGGGGCAAAAUUUAGGACGGUUUUUAAAACACUACGGGACCUGGAAGGAGAGAGACUGCUGUUCCUGUGCCGUCCUGCACACCUUUCCCCCUCUGAACUUACAGUAUGUCCACUGCCCUGUAAGCCCUAAUCAGACCUAUAUACACACACUUACUACAAGUAUACAGUUUCCUCCACAUUUUGCUUUAGUGUUGGCCCACACAGAAUGAUGCCACCGCACAGCAUUACUAUAGAAGGUACUUCUGUUUUUAAACACUACAUUGACGUAAAGCUACAGCCCCGUGCAGCAGAGACGGACGUCCCUCUGGUUUAACAUCGUGGUGUAAUAAUGAAACUCGGACUACACGAUACAGAAGACGUAGGAAUUAUUCUUGUUGUUUUGUAAAGCUGGAGCACCGAACAUUCACCCGGAGGGAACUGGGAGCAUCUUGACUGACAGAAACCACUGUUGUC